UCCCGCUCAAUAUGUAAUCCCCUACCCUAAUUUCUAGAUCUGCCUCUCCAACAAUCCAAGCCGACUCUCUUUUUCUCUGCAUUUCGAAUGCUUCUUCAGAUCAAACUCUCUCUCUACAAUGCCAUGGGCUUUAUAGAGGAUCCGACUUUUCUUCAUCAAAGGUGGUGGGUCUUCUGGAACCAUAUCAAAGAAGAAAGAUUGGCCUUUUGGUGGUGCUGGUAUUGGAAAAAUUCUCUUUAUCAUGGAGUUUAUUAACAUUUUUGCCGAGGCUCAUGGCAAGUAGAUUUUAGUAUUUGCCUUCAGAUUUUAGUAUUUCAUUAAUACAUUUCAGCACUCUCUAAACUGCUUGACUUUUCUUAUAUAGUAUUUUUUAUUUUCUUUUACAA